UGAGAGCCAAUCAGGGCCGAGAUUAGAGCUAGCCAAUCAGGGCUAGGCUAGGCCCUAUAUAAUGGCUGCCCAGGAGAGCAGCAGGUAGUCUGUCCCAGAAUUUCAUGGGGGAAGGUCUGUCUCCAGAACAGGAGACCAGCAUCUCGGGCUGGGCAGUACUGCAUCUGGCCAUCUGGUGGCAGAGACAAAUUGUAACCGGCCCUUGAGACAAGGGGCUAGACUUUGGGGGUUGCGGUUGGCCACCGAGGCAGGUGCAAGGACUGUUGCUAACCCCCGCCCCUGGAAUGGGGUGAGGAUGGACUAGUGGACACUGCUGGAGGCAGUGAGCAACGCGGCUCCAGAUGCCAACAGAGGACAAGAGAUGGAUGGGAUGCUGCCAGCAGAGGGCGAUCCCCAGGGACUGAGCUAAUUCCCAGAGCGACCAGCGGGAGGCGCCAUGCUGGAAUAGGAGCCUCCUUCCAGCUGUCUUCCAGGCCCUGGGAUCUGGCACAGCCACCCAGACGGGCGCUUCCUGUAGCUGAGCCACGUCAGGGAGCAGUGGGGACAGGUCACCUCGUCCCAGCAAUGCCGGCUCUCAAAGAGGCUUAGAUGGAAGACCCCAGUCCCUCAUGGAGAGGCGGUGUCCAGGAUCCUGGAGACGGUUUCCUGCUGCAGGAGGUUUGAGCGGGGAGAGAUCACUCACUGUCACGACCCAGGGGUCUCCAACCCGGGUCUGCAGGGUUCAUGGGAGCAGCCACACUCCAACCCUCCACCUGGAAGCCUGCUGAAAAUUGCUUACCUCGGACCCAUGAAGUUCAGCCCCAGUUUGAGGCUCCACUCCUGAGGUCCUAUUGGAGGAGUCCGAGGAAAGCUCACUGGCUCCCUGGCCCUGCGUAAGACAGCAGCAGGAACACGAAGCUGA